ACUUAUUGUUUGUCAAUUGGAGAAUCUCCUCUAUUCCACUAUACUCCCUUUAACACUGAAAUGGUUUUUUUGCUUUGUGAACUGGUUUUAAAAAAGUUUUAUACCCUACAAGACGGAAGUAACCAAUUCACUACUACACUUAUAAAACUACAUCAUACAUAUUUUUUGAAGGCGUAAGAAAGAGACGCACAUAAAGCUGUAUAAUAUUUGAUAAACAUUCCAGCCAUGGCAUUAUUUAGAAAAAAUGUUUGAGAUAAGCGGUUUUUGUGAUUUGCUUUUAAAAUACGUACAUAUGCAAUAUAAUUUUGCUUUGCUUUUUAGCAUCAAAAGGCGUUUAUAUAGAAGCACAAAAUUGGAAGUGGAAGAUUUCAUCAUCAUAAGCUAAAUUCUUUUGUAUGGUUAGAAAGUGUCAUCAGCUGAUAUUUUAACCAAAAAUGGGAAUAUAAUUAUAGUAAGAUUUAAGUUUUUCCCUUCAUUAUUUUUUAAUUUUAGGAAACGGUGAUCAGUAUUAUUGAAUAGAUAAAGAUUUAAGGCAUGAAGAAAAUGAUAAAAUAUAAUAUAAUAGUUAAUAAAAAUUGACAAA